GGCGGCGCGCCUAACACAUGCAAGUCGAACGAGCGAGAGAGAGCUUGCUUUCUCAAGCGAGUGGCGAACGGGUGAGUAACGCGUGAGGAACCUGCCUCAAAGAGGGGGACAACAGUUGGAAACGACUGCUAAUACCGCAUAAGCCCACGGCUCGGCAUCGAGCAGAGGGAAAAGGAGCAAUCCGCUUUGAGAUGGCCUCGCGUCCGAUUAGCUAGUUGGUGAGGUAACGGCCCACCAAGGCGACGAUCGGUAGCCGGACUGAGAGGUUGAACGGCCACAUUGGGACUGAGACACGGCCCAGACUCCUACGGGAGGCAGCAGUGGGGAAUAUUGCACAAUGGGGGAAACCCUGAUGCAGCGACGCCGCGUGGAGGAAGAAGGUCUUCGGAUUGUAAACUCCUGUUGUUGAGGAAGAUAAUGACGGUACUCAACAAGGAAGUGACGGCUAACUACGUGCCAGCAGCCGCGGUAAAACGUAGGUCACAAGCGUUGUCCGGAAUUACUGGGUGUAAAGGGAGCGCAGGCGGGAAGACAAGUUGGAAGUGAAAUCCAUGGGCUCAACCCAUGAACUGCUUUCAAAACUGUUUUUCUUGAGUAGUGCAGAGGUAGGCGGAAUUCCCGGUGUAGCGGUGGAAUGCGUAGAUAUCGGGAGGAACACCAGUGGCGAAGGCGGCCUACUGGGCACCAACUGACGCUGAGGCUCGAAAGUGUGGGUAGCAAACAGGAUUAGAUACCCUGGUAGUCCACACUGUAAACGAUGAAACGGGGUGUGGAGGAUUGACCCCUUCAGUGCCGCAGUUAACCCAUUAAAGUAAUCCACCUGGGGAGUACGACCGCAAGGGUGAAACUCAAAGGAAUUGACGGGGGCCCGCACAAGCAGGGGAGUAUGUGGUUUAAUUCGACGCAACGCGAAGAACCUUACCAAGUCUUGACAUCCCUUGACGAUGCUGGAAACAGUAUUUCUCUACGGAGCAAGGAGACAGGUGGUGCAUGGUUGUCGUCAGCUCGUGUCGUGAGAUGUUGGGUUAAGUCCCGCAACGAGCGCAACCCUUAUGGUCAGUUACUACGCAAGAGGACUCUGGCCAGACUGCCGUUGACAAAACGGAGGAAGGUGGGGAUGACGUCAAAUCAUCAUGCCCUUUAUGACUUGGGCUACACACGUACUACAAUGGCGUUAAACAAAGAGAAGCAAGACCGCGAGGUGGAGCAAAACUCAGAAACAACGUCCCAGUUCGGACUGCAGGCUGCAACUCGCCUGCACGAAGUCGGAAUUGCUAGUAAUCGCAGAUCAGCAUGCUGCGGUGAAUACGUUCCCGGGCCUUGCACUCACGGCCCGUC
rnacentral:rRNA from 1 species